UGUAGAUCUCCAGUCUUUUCUACGCAGCUUGACAAGUGAAGUGGAAUGCCAACAAUCUCCUCUCAACAAGCUCAGAAGAUAAAGCAGAGAAGAAAAGAAUGUACUUAAAGACGUGGUUCAGGACUUCACACAAAUGACACCCACUUAGAAAACACAAACAAACUUUAGCCUUAGCAGAGUCAGGACCAGCCUGAGAUCUUUCUGCAGUGAAAUUGGGAUCGAUCUCAGGUUGAAGCCUAGUAUAUUAAUCAUGAUCGGUUGCCUCAAUUCACCUAGAAACAUACAUAAGUUAUCUGCUAAUGGCUCUACCUAGGUAAUUGUUCACAGAUCUUCAAAUAGUUUUCCAAGAGCACCAAGUACAUCAAAACCUAAAGUGUGUAAGCAUGCAAUAGAAAAAGGGUAAUCAGUAAGAUUGUUAGAUGUUACUUACACUUACUUGGUAUAAAAUUGUGAUGGCUUCCCACGAACUUCUAUGCUGAUACUGGCAUUGGAAAACAGCUAGAUAACUUUUUCAGCCACUAAAUUCUGAUAAUCAUUGCCUGCCAUUAUCCAAAUCCUUAUCUUCUUGGCCUUUGCUCUCCCUUUCCCUGUAUUAGGCAAGCGAAGAGAUUGAAGACAGCAAAGUGCAUUGGAAAGAAUCCACAAAUGCCUUGUGGCCUGGGACAUCUCACAAAAAGCUAAUUUGAAAAAUGAGCGUAAUUCUUACUUCAUAAGAAUUAAUGGAGGCCGGGUGCAGUGGCUCAUGCCUGUAAUCCCAGUACUUUGGGAGGCUGAAGUGUGUGGCUCACCUGGGGUCAGGAGUUCAAGACUAGCUUGGCCAACAUGGUGAAACUCUGUCUCUACUAAAAAUACAAAAAUUAGCCAGUUGUGGCGGCAGGCAUCUGUAAUCUCAGCUACUCAGGAGACUGAGGCAGGAGAAUUGCUUGAACCCAGAAGACGGAGAUUGCAGUGAGCCGAGAUCAUGCUACUGUACUCCAGCUGCCUGGGUGACAGAGCGAGACCCCGUCUCAAAAAAAAAAAAAAAAAAAAAAAAAGAGAAUUCAUUGAGUUAGUUCAUGUAAAGUUCUUGGAGUAAGACCUAGCACAUGACAGGUGCUAUUAAAAUUACAGAAUCACAUAUCCCAGUUUGUCUAAGCUCGUCUCAAUUUAUGCUUGUUUUCCAGCUUCUCAGUUAGUUUGGUAUUUGUCAUUCUCAAGGGGUCCUGAUUUGAAUGAUUGAUAAUUUAUGUGCUCAACCUGUGUGAAUGUGGUAAAGCUACUAUUAUUGUUGUUAUUAAUAAAUUGUAGGGCCAGGCGUGGUAGCUCACGUCUGUAAUCCCAGCACGUUAGGAGGCUGAGGAGGAUGGGUCACCUGAGGUCAGGAGUUUGAGACCAGCCUGGCCAACAUGGCCAAACCCUGUCACUACUAAAAAUACAAAACUUAGCUGGGCAUUGUGGUGGGUGCCUGUAAUCCCAGCUACUCGGGAGGCUGAGGCAGGAGAAUCACUUGAACCCAGGAGGCAGACGGAGGUUGCAGUGAGCUGAGAUCACGCCACUGCAC
rnacentral:lncRNA from 1 species